CCCUUAGAUGUUCUGGGCCGCACGCGCGCUACACUGACAGAGCCAGCGAGUUUUUUUCCUUGGCCGGAAGGUCUGGGUAAUCUUGUGAAACUCUGUCGUGCUGGGGAUAGAGCAUUGCAAUUAUUGCUCUUCAACGAGGAAUACCUAGUAAGCGUGAGUCAUCAGCUCGCGUUGAUUACGUCCCUGCCCUUUGUACACACCGCCCGCCGCUACUACCGAUUGAAUGGCUUAGUGAGGUCUUGGGAUUGGCUUCGAGGAACCGGCAACGGUACCUUGUUGCUGAGAACUUGAUCAAACUUGGUCAUUUAGAGGAAGUAAAAGUCGUAACA
rnacentral:rRNA from 1 species